AGCGGCGGACGGGUGAGUAACACGUGGGUAACCUGCCCAAGAGACUGGGAUAACACCUGGAAACAGAUGCUAAUACCGGAUAACAACACUAGACGCAUGUCUAGAGUUUGAAAGAUGGUUCUGCUAUCACUCUUGGAUGGACCUGCGGUGCAUUAGCUAGCUGGUAAGGUAACGGCUUACCAAGGCAAUGAUGCAUAGCCGAGUUGAGAGACUGAUCGGCCACAUUGGGACUGAGACACGGCCCAAACUCCUACGGGAGGCAGCAGUAGGGAAUCUUCCACAAUGGACGAAAGUCUGAUGGAGCAACGCCGCGUGAGUGAAGAAGGGUUUCGGCUCGUAAAGCUCUGUUGGUAGUGAAGAAAGAUAGAGGUAGUAACUGGCCUUUAUUUGACGGUAAUUACUUAGAAAGUCGCGGCUAACUACGUGCCAGCAGCCGCGGUAAUACGUAGGUGGCAAGCGUUGUCCGGAUUUAUUGGGCGUAAAGCGAGUGCAGGCGGUUCAAUAAGUCUGAUGUGAAAGCCUUCGGCUCAACCGGAGAAUUGCAUCAGAAACUGUUGAACUUGAGUGCAGAAGAGGAGAGUGGAACUCCAUGUGUAGCGGUGGAAUGCGUAGAUAUAUGGAAGAACACCAGUGGCGAAGGCGGCUCUCUGGUCUGCAACUGACGCUGAGGCUCGAAAGCAUGGGUAGCGAACAGGAUUAGAUACCCUGGUAGUCCAUGCCGUAAACGAUGAGUGCUAAGUGU
rnacentral:rRNA from 1 species